rnacentral:rRNA from 1 species
AGGACGAACGCUGGCGGCGUGCUUAACACAUGCAAGUCGAGCGGAAAGGCCCUUCGGGGUACUCGAGCGGCGAACGGGUGAGUAACACGUGAGUAAUCUGCCCCUAGCUCUGGGAUAGCUCCGGGAAACCGGGAUUAAUACCAGAUAUGACCACUUUAGACAUCUGCUGUGGUGGAAAGAAUUUCGGCUAGGGAUGAGCUCGCGGCCUAUCAGCUUGUUGGCGGGGUAACGGCCUACCAAGGCGACGACGGGUA